UUCCUAGAAGCACAAGGUAAAAAUUUAAAAUGAUGGUCAGAUUUCAGAAUUCAAAGCUGGAGACAGAUACUGUGAACCCACAUAGCUGGAGACAAUACUGCAAACCAAUGUGAUCCGCUCUCUUGUAAUAGCUUAAAAAAGAUUGUGAGAAUGACAAUCAUCUAUGUUGAGUAUAAAAGCCCAUGCACAUUCACCAAGGCAUCACAGCCACAUCCACAGCAUGCAUUACAUAAUAUCAUUCAAUCCUUUUUAGUAAACAAGAAUACAAGAUAUUGUCAUCUAUGUUGAGUAUAAAAGCCCAUGCACAUUCACCAAGGCAUCACAGCCACAUCCACAGCAUGCAUUACAUAAUAUCAUUCAAACAAGAUCAGCAUUCCAAUGGAACUGCCAGUUCAGUAACAUAUGUCCAAAACAGUUAAAAGGAAAGCAUUUCAGUGCCAUAAAAGUCUUCUAACAUAAGAAACCCUGCAAGGCAGACAUCAUUAUUAAACUGCUUGUUAAGGACAAAGCAUGAAGGGCGAACUAUGGCCCACUGAACCACAAAUCCUGAAUGCCUCUAUUUUUUUAAGCAUAACUGAAAUAAUGCCUUGAUUUUUUUUUUUAAAUAAAGUUGGUAAAAAAUUACAAAAUUUCAAAUAAUUUCGACACCAAGAAUUUUGCACAAAGAUUAAUAUGCUUCAUUGAAUAAUAAUACAAGAAAAUGAUCCAAUUGAAACCUGUUUGGUUUAGUAUACAACCUGGAAAUUUCAAUACAAUCACUUUCCUUGAAUGAAAAAACUAAGUUAUACAACUAUUAUGAUCUUACGUAAAGAACAAAAAUACUAGUUUUGAUAUUCACAACCUUUGGGAACAAGUUCAUUACAUUUAAAAUUAAUAAACAAACACCAAUCGGUGCAACGGACUCCUACCUCAAAAAAAAAAAGACAUUAAGGAAAAAAAGACCCAAUAUACUGCGUACAAUUAACCUCGAUACAAAAAAUCUGACGUGAAGAGACACGGAAUGUGCUACAAGAAUAGCUUUCAUUUGAAACAUGAAUCAAGGACGAUCCAGUUUGUUUUUUCUCAUCUCAAUCUAUGUCACUAAAACCCAGAACCCCCCUCCUAAACGAAACUAAAUCCAAAUCCUUUAUAAGUCAAACAGAAGUCCAUGAAACCAGACAUCGAUCAGAUUCCCCUAGGUCAAUUUACAAAGGUACACAAAACAUACAUGAAAACAAAGGAAGACCAUGAGGAUCGAAAGACGAGACUUACUGAA
rnacentral:lncRNA from 1 species